CCUACGGGGUGCAGCAGUGGGGAAUAUUGGACAAUGGGCGAAAGCCUGAUCCAGCCAUGCCGCGUGUGUGAAGAAGGCCUUCGGGUUGUAAAGCACUUUCAGUGGGGAAGAAAGCCUUGGGGCUAAUACCCUCGAGGAAGGACAUCACCCACAGAAGAAGCACCGGCUAACUCCGUGCAAGCAGCCGCGGUAAUACGGAGGGUGCGAGCGUUAAUCGGAAUUACUGGGCGUAAAGCGCGCGUAGGCGGUCUGAUAAGCCGGUUGUGAAAGCCCCGGGCUCAACCUGGGAACGGCAUCCGGAACUGUCAGGCUAGAGUGCAGGAGAGGAAGGUAGAAUUCCCGGUGUAGCGGUGAAAUGCGUAGAGAUCGGGAGGAAUACCAGUGGCGAAGGCGGCCUUCUGGACUGACACUGACGCUGAGGUGCGAAAGCGUGGGUAGCAAACAGGAUUAGAUACCCGGGUAGUC
rnacentral:rRNA from 1 species